rnacentral:rRNA from 1 species
GGAUAACCGCUGAAAGCAUCUAAGCGGGAAGCCGGCCUUGAGAUGAGCUCUCCCAUCCCCUUUGAGGGAGUAAGACCCCUGGUAGACCACCAGGUUGAUAGGCCGGAUCUGGAAGGGUGGUAACACCCGUAGGAGACCGGUACUAAUGGGUCGAGGGCUUGACGGA